UAGUACCUGUGAAGAUGCAGGUUACCCGCGACAGGACGGAAAGACCCCGUGGAGCUUUACUGCAGCCUGAUAUUGAAUGUUGGUACAGCUUGUACAGGAUAGGUAGGAGCCUUGGAAACCGGAGCGCCAGCUUCGGUGGAGGCAUCGGUGGGAUACUACCCUGGCUGUAUUGACCUUCUAACCCGCCGCCCUUAUCGGGCGGGGAGACAGUGUCAGGUGGGCAGUUUGACUGGGGCGGUCGCCUCCUAAAAGGUA
rnacentral:rRNA from 2 species